UUUUAGUGUGUCUGUUCUCACGUGGUUUUAGUGUCAAAAUGACCAGCCGUACGUCAGUGUCUUAAUACAUAGCUGCUGCGCUUAUGGCGGCUGCUCACCGGGCUAGGUGGGAGACGAUGUCUGUCGCUGCCUCAGAUGUGUGAUCGUGGAUCAAAACUUUGGAACUGCUUUUUGCUGGUGUCUGCACAUAAAAGAUCUCGGGGCUCUUCCCUGCAUUACCGCGAGUGAAAAGCGAGAGAGAGGCUAAAGAGUGAUCCCAUUCCUCAGGAGCAUGCCGUGUGAAGACCCACGCAAAAACUUUUUAUACGUGUGUGCACUUUCCCACUUUCAGAGUGUGCGGCUGUGGAUCAGAAGAGGAAAUGCCUUGAACUCACGUCCCAUGAAGCACAGAACGAUCCGACGUAGAGUCAAAGUUGCUGAAAGGCUCCUAACAAGAGUCUUUCUCUGAAGGAUUCUCUCUGCAUUGUGGAGAGACGGCGCAUUUCUGACUACCAGGUGACAUCGGGAACCGCACUCCAGCAUGUUUGCGGACGUACAACAGAACGAUAACCAGCCGUCGUUGCUGGAUGCACCAGGCUUAACUCGACUCGACCAACACGGUUGGCUAAGAGGUGCAGCAGAGGUGAAUCGGUCUUAUCUGAAAUCCCAGCGCAGGACACAAAGAGGAUAUUGAAAGAAUCCGACCCUCAGGCUUGCGCCGGCCUGAUCCGUACGGAGGAAAAAAGGAGAAGGCGAGGAACCAAAAGUGAUGAGUUUGUUCCUCUGGUGUAUCCGUCUCUCUCCAGAGCAUCAUGUGGCAAAUUGCUCUUGGUUUGUAGCUCCCCCACCUUAUUUAGCUUUCUUCGACAGACCUGCUUUCUGGUUCU